AGAUUAUGUUUAUUUUGAAAACUCUUCAAGCAAUCCAUAUCUUAUCAGGAGAAUAGAAGAACUUAAUAAGACUGCCAGUGGUAAUGUGGAAGCAAAAGUAGUAUGCUUUUACAGACGACGAGACAUCUCCAAUAGCCUCAUUAUGCUUGCAGACAAACAUGCAAAAGAAGUUGAGGAAGAAUCUGAAAUUCCCAAAGAAAUAGAUCUGACUGAUAAACAGAAGCACCAGCUGAAGCACAGAGAAUUAUUUCUGUCUCGUCAAUAUGAGUCCCUCCCUGCAACACAC